GACGAACGCUGGCGGCGUGCUUAACACAUGCAAGUCGAACGGAAAGGCCCUGCUUUUGUGGGGUGCUCGAGUGGCGAACGGGUGAGUAACACGUGAGUAACCUGCCCUUGACUUUGGGAUAACUUCAGGAAACUGGGGCUAAUACCGGAUAGGAGCUACCGCUGCAUGGUGGGGGUUGGAAAGUUUCGGCGGUUGGGGAUGGACUCGCGGCUUAUCAGCUUGUUGGUGGGGUAGUGGCUUACCAAGGCCUUGACGGGUAGCCGGCCUGAGAGGGUGACCGGCCACGUUGGGACUGAGAUACGGCCCAGACUCCUACGGGAGGCAGCAGUGGAGAAGAUUGCACAAUGGGCGGAAGCCUGAUGCAGCAACGCCGCGUGCGGGAUGACGUCCUUCGGGUUGUAAACCGCUUUCGCCUGUGACGAAGCGUGAGUGACGGUAAUGGGUAAAGAAGCACCGGCUAACUACGUG
rnacentral:rRNA from 1 species